CCAUCUUCCAAUCCGUUGAAUUCCCGCAGCCGAGUACCCCAAUACACUCGCCUGGGUAGCCGCCCCGAUCCGAAAGGAAUGGGCCGAAAACCCGUGACCAUCCAUGCCACUCUCCACCAAUGCUCUCUUCAACAUCGCCGAGAACUGAUACCGGGUUAGAGGAGACCCGUCCACGUGAGCUAACAAAGGGCCUCCCCGCUCCGGGCGCACCUCCAGAAAAUCUUGGAAGGCCCCAACCGGACAAACUUCGUCCCUCGUGGCCCCCAAACGAACCCAGGCCCCCCGGGCCGCCUGGUCCGUCUUAGAUCGCCGCACAAAAAUGUCGAUGGUGGAAGUAGACCACCGCACAUCCGACAAUGCCAACGGCGAGGCCUUCCCCUUGCUCGGGGCCACCAAUUCGCCGAUAUGAAAGGCACCAAAAAAGCAGACCGAGAAGGCCACGCGAAACAGCUUCGAUACGUACUCCGAACCACAGACCGUCGGUAGUACUAAAAUAAUCCGUCGCAACAUUUCAGCCGAAAUUGGGCGACGACCAUCCGGGCGACGCCGCAGCCGCCAACCCUUGACCACCCUCUGAAUCCCAUAUUCCUUAGUAACAUCCUGCCAGCCCAUAAAGCGAAACAGGAACGACAGGGCAGCCAACGCCUUCUCCGCUGCAGCGCAGGACCUACCUCUCCUGACCAAGUCAUCCAGCAACACGAGCGUCCUCUCCGCACGACCCGAUUCCGUGGACACAUCCCCGUCCCAUGCUGAUGACAGCCACUGCCUCCACACUGCCCGG